rnacentral:pre_miRNA from 1 species
GGGGGGAGCGCCAGGUCUUUGGCUGUGUCCCUUGGCGCCCUGGGCUCCCGGGCUUGUGCUGCUGGACUUGUGCUCCCGGGCUGUGCAGCCCCCU